CGGGUGUGGCGUUAUGCCGCAGCGUGAGCAUGGCAGCGUAGCUCCAACGCGUGACGUCAUGACGACAUUCUAGGCCUCCUAGCGCAGAGAGGCGUUUUGCUCCUUUAUGCAGCGCUUCGGGAGAGUUCUGCAGACCUGCUAUGGAACCGGGACCCAAAAGAAAGUUUUCACCCACGUGGGAGUAUUUUGACAUGAUUUCUCCCACCAAGGUGAAAUGUCGAAUUUGUGACAAGGAGGUUGGUUACAACAACAACACGUCGUCCAUGAUCAGACAUCACCGGUCCUUCCAUGAGCCUGGAGACAGGCCGAGCAAAGAUUCCAGGAAACAAUUAUUAGACGAUGCUCUGGUUGACAUGGUGAUCAAGGACAGUCAGCCAUUUUCAGUGGUAGAGGAUGAAGGAUUUAGAAAUUUUGUUGAUUUACUUGACCCUACAUAUAUUUUACCAACUAAAAAGGCAUUAAAGACUAUGGUGGCAGUAAAGUCUAUAAAUCCCAAGUAGAAGCAGAGGAAAGGCUGAAUCGCAGCGGCGUCGCGGACAGAGUUAUCUCCUCCUGAAACACCGGGAAGUGCAUCACCAUAUCGCCAAGAAGCCUGAAAAAAGGGGGACUGGAUCAAAAAGUUUAUAUUCUUUUUUUUACUGACGAAGAACAAAAGUGCUAUUCAACUGAGCGUGCUUCAGAGGAAUCUGAUUGCAUAAACACACAUGGGAUUGUAUAUUUACUUGUUAAUAAAUACACUGGAUUGCUGAACCAAGCCUGCUGCUGUUUUUACACAAAAUUUAAGGAAAGAUUAAUUAAUGUAAAGACAUGACCUAAUAUGGAGCUUGUUGCGAUUAUCAAGGCAGGUAAAGGAUGGACUGCUGAUGAGCAAACCUGGCAGGUGCUUUUAACACAUUUGUGCAGAGGUGUGAGGCAAACUCUGCCUGCAGAGCUUCUUUUUCCUGGAAACGUAGGUUAUGGGUUUUGGUGAUGCCUGCCAACAAAAAAGGGCGUUUUAGUGGAUUUGGAGCAUACUGCCACCAAGUGUUCAAAAGGAACAUUACAACUUAAGAGUGUUUCCCAUUACAGUACACACUUCUACGUAUCGCUACAGAUGUGUGUUUGAUAUUUGCAGUUGUGUUUUUUAUUGCAUACCUAAAAGUAUAUCCUUGUAAAAUGGCAUAAUGUACAAUAAAGU